CUAAGAUCAAGUUGACAGCAGGGUAGCACUCUUUACUGGAGACUGCAGGCUAGAAUCUGUUUUCUUGCCUUUUCCCAUUUUGGAGGCUGUCCACAUUCAUUGGCUCUUGGCCCCCUUCUUCUACCUUCAAAGCCUGCAAUGUUGCAUCUCUCUAAUCAUUCUGGCAUAAUCACAAGUGUUUCUCUGACCACAGCCAGGAAUGGUUCUCUGCUUUUAAAGGAUUCUUGUGAUAAAAUUGGAC
rnacentral:lncRNA from 1 species